rnacentral:rRNA from 1 species
AGGUUUGAUCAUGGCUCAGAUUGAACGCUGGCGGAAUGCUUACACAUGCAAGUCGAACGGCAGCACGGGGCAACCUGGUGGCGAGUGGCGAACGGGUGAGUAAUACAUCGGAACGUGCCCAAUCGCGGGGGAUAACGUAGCGAAAGUUACGCUAAUACCGCAUACGAUCUACGGAUGAAAGCGGGGGAUCGCAAGACCUCGCGCGAAUGGAGCGGCCGAUGUCAGAUUAGGUAGUUGGUGGGGUAAAGGCUCACCAAGCCAACGAUCUGUAGCUGGUCUGAGAGGACGACCAGCCACACUGGAACUGAGACACGGUCCAGACUCCUACGGGAGGCAGCAGUGGGGAAUUUUGGACAAUGGGCGCAAGCCUGAUCCAGCCAUUCCGCGUGCAGGAUGAAGGCCUUCGGGUUGUAAACUGCUUUUGUACGGAACGAAACGGUCUGCCCUAAUACGGUGGGCUAAUGACGGUACCGUAAGAAUAAGCACCGGCUAACUACGUG